GAAGAGGAAACAGAGGAGCUAACCAACCAGGUCCUGGAUGAGAUUGGCGUGGACAUUGCAUCACAGCUGUCAGUUGCUCCUAAAGGUCGCAUUGCAGUGAAUAAUAAGAAGGUCGAUAAUGCUGCAAGAACUGUAGCACCGGAAACUGAUGAGAUUGAUGAUUUGGAGAAGAGGUUGGCAUCCUUACGGCGAGCCUGACUGAAUAAUGAUCAUCGAAGUUCUGCAUGAAUUUGCCUGUUUAAUAUUAACGCUUCAGUUUCUUUGUAUUCUUUGGAUGUUUCUUCCUAGAAAUAGAUGCAUCUUUGUAUGGUAUGCAUUUGCGAAAUCAUUGAAGAAUUGAGAAAUAUUUAUAUUUUUCUGCAAUGGGAUUUACAUACAUAUUAUUGAGUGAUAA